AGGGAUUCUUUAUUGGAUAGCAAUUAGCUUGAACCUAAUUUUAGAACGUUCGAUUCGUUCAGAAUCUUUG
rnacentral:tRNA from 1 species